UACGAAGGGGGCUAGCGUUGUUCGGGAAUUACUGGGCGUAAAGCGCGCGCAGGCGGUCUUCCAAGGUCAACGUGGUGAAAGACCCGGAGCUCAACUCCGGAAUCUGCCAGUUGAAACUGUUAGACUUGAGGACGAGAGAGGUGAGUGGAAAUUCCCAGUGUAGAGGUGAAAUUCGUAGAUAUUGGGAAGAACACCGGUGGCGAAGGCGGCUCACUGGCUCGUAGUCUGACGCUCAGGCGGCGACAGCGUGGGGAUCAAACAGG
rnacentral:rRNA from 1 species